rnacentral:lncRNA from 10 species
GGAGAAUCUCCUCAUGGACGUGGCUGGAGGAGCCUCCUCUUCUCUCCUGUGUAAGACUCACUGCACAAUGUUGAAUUAACUCAUGAGAGGCGACAUCCUUCUCUUAUUCCUGAUCAUAGGUGUAAAGCACUUGGAUUCUCACCACUAUGGAGAUCAAAAGUUUGAAAUCCAGGUGCUGGCAGUACCACGCUCCCUGGGAAGACACCAGGGAAGAAACUGCUCUGUGCCUCUCUGCAGCUUCUGGGUCUUGGCAGUCUCUAUGCAAAUUAGCACUUGUCUAAUGUCAUUAUGCAUGGUUCCUGGGAGAGCAGCAACUGGAAUCCUGGAUAAACUUGUCCACUCAGUCUGGGGGAUAAGGAGACUGGGAUAAAGAAGCAGAAACUCUCUCACGGAUGGAUGGACCAGGCCUUACCUUGACGUAUGUGAUCUUCCCUUUAACCUGUGACCUUGUGUUUGGGACGGUAGUAAGAAGAUUUCAUUAAACCAGCUGAACUUUUAUCAUCUGAGGCCGAAUGUCAAACUCUACCCUGAAAUGCAACAUAGUGGGCUUAGACUGGUGUAAGAAAGUAUGUUUUGAUUCGGGUUAGUUGUGGAAGCUAUAUUUCAGGUGGAAGCAUAGGGUACAUUGGGGUUAGAGACUUAGCCUAUGAUAUUGUAAGAAAGGGGGAGUGAGGGGCUAUAUUGUCCAACAAUUGUAAUGUAUAUUUAGUUCUCCUAAUUCUGGCAACAAUUCUGCAAAGUUAGAUGCAGAGAUUGCAUUCCCUUGGAAGCUUACUCUGAGAUGGAGUUCGGAAAGCAGAAUGCUUAUUGUGAAGAUAAAUAAUUCAAAUUAAAGCUGUUGGAACUUUAAAGUAUUUUGAGCCUCUAAGGGAAUGUGAAUUGUGAGACCUGAGUCAUGUAGCAUGCAGCUACAGCUUCUGUUCCUUCCUGUAAAUGAUAAGAAAAGGCCUUGUGGCACCAGAGAGCAGACCCCCUCAGAUUGUCACCCCUCCUCAGAAAGCGCUGGAGCACUGUUCCUUAGAAUGUAGCAAACUGUGAGCAAUCACAUCCCUGCAACUGUGUACUGGCCAUGUAUGGAAAUGUGUGAUCCUGCCAAACCUCUUUGUUUCUGCCUAUAUUAAUAAAACCUUAAUUUCCUCACU